rnacentral:rRNA from 1 species
AGAAUCAACGCUGGCGGCGUGCCUAACACAUGCAAGUCGAACGAGAAAGUGGAGCAAUCCAUUAGUAAAGUGGCGCACGGGUGAGUAACACGUGACUAACCUACCCUUGAGUGGGGGAUAACCUAGAGAAAUCUGGGCUAAUACCGCAUAAUACCUUCGGGUCAAAGGAGCAAUUCGCUUAAGGAGGGGGUCGCGGCCGAUUAGUUAGUUGGCGGGGUAAUGGCCCACCAAGACUAUGAUCGGUAUCCGGCCUGAGAGGGCGCACGGACACACUGGAACUGAAACACGGUCCAGACUCCUACGGGAGGCAGCAGUGGGGAAUUUGCGCAAUGGGGGAAACCCUGACGCAGCAACGCCGCGUGGAGGAUGAAGCCCCUUGGGGCGUAAACUCCUUUCGAUCGGGACGAUAAUGACGGUACCGAGAGAAGAAGCCUCGGCUAACUUCGCGCCAGCAGCCGC